UGUCAAACCUAUGCACAAAUUAAAUUCAUACCGUUCUUCUUCCUUUCAAACUUUUAUUUUAUUUUUCAGUUUAUAAUUAUAAUUAUAUAUAUGACUAUAUUUGAUCGUAGAGUUUUAAUUUCUUAACUAACGUCAUGCAUUAUUUUUUUAUUUUUUUUAUAGGUGAGGCCAACUUCCAUGUCUCUUUUUGAGAAAGAAUUUUGCAACACGCCAAAUAAAUACAAAUUAAACUUUGCUGGUGUGAUGAAUUAGGUUGCCAUGAAGAAAUUAUUCCAAACAAUUUUAAUGUCUGAUGAAUUGUGUUGCCUGGAAGAAAUUAUUCCAAACACUUAAAAUAUAAGUAUCAUUGUUAAUUCUCAAGAGUUGUAUACCUUUGUGUAUAAAUUUCUUUAGGAAAUGUAUAUGUAUUGUAUAUAUAUUGUAUAUUGUUAUAUUUUUUGUGGAAAUUAGAUUUUUUUUUUCUAUUUUAUUAUAAAGAUUUAUUAUGUUUACAACGUCACACUCAAUUUUGUGAAACAAAUCGAAUUAUAUUUUCUCUAAGGAUUUUGAAACAAAAAAAAAUCAUACAGUGAUAUAUUAUAGUAUAAUUUCAUUGAAGCAUGUGUAAUCAAAAUUUAUUGAGAGCAGUUGAUCUUUUUUAAUUGUAGUGAAUCGAAUGGCUAACAUAAAAAUAAAAAUAAAAAUGUACCUUUUAUAUAAAAAAUUAAGAGCCACCUUUCAAUUUCAAGAUGUUUUUCUUCCUAUUCUUUUUUGAGAGGUUUUUAGAAAUAUUCUAAACGGUGAUUAUAUGCAAUUUAGUACAAAAUAUAUGUUUCCCAACCUUA
rnacentral:lncRNA from 1 species